rnacentral:lncRNA from 1 species
CCACCUCCCUAAUUUCAUUUUCCCCGAAUGGUCUCUCGGACCAACUGACAUCCUCCUUCGUGAUAGUAGAAAAAUCUAGCCCAUCCAACUCUGGCCUUCACUCAAGCUGUUCCCGAUAGAAAUUUUGAUAUAAUCUCACCAUUUAGUUCCUAAUAUCCUAUGGAUCCUCAUAAGUAACCCCAUCUACCUCCAAAAAUGUGAUAGAAUUGUUGCACCUGUUAGAAUUUGCGACACUAUAGAAAAACUUGGAGCAUGUCCCCUUCUUUCAAACAUGUGAUCCUGGAUUUCUGACUUCGGGCAAUCUCCUCCAUCUCCAUCAACUUCUCCAACUCUCCUCUCCUCCCCAUCCAACCCUUGACUCUCAUCCCUCCUAUCUAACUCCUCCAUGUUUGAAAGACGCCAAUUUUUACACCAAUUUACAUUGCCCACCACCUCCUCAUUCUACUUCUUUAACUCCCAUUUCAAAGCCUUCAAUUUUUUAUCCAACAUAUAACUACGAAACCCCUUGAAAUCAUAAGAGGUCCACAAAGUCUGGACACACUCCCUAAAACCUUUAACUUUUAACCGU